GGGAAGAAGCGACGCCGCGUUUGGGAAGGAAGGCCUCCGGGUGUAAACCCCCGUCGGAGUUAGGAAAUGUAAGGGUACUAAUAGUAUCCUUUACUUGACUAAGACUCCGGAGGAAGCCACGGCUAACUCUGUGCCAGCAGCCGCGGUAAUACAGAGGCGGCAAGCGUUGUUCGGAAUUAUUGGGCGUAAAGAGCACGUAGGCGGCCUUGUAAGUCAGUUGUGAAAGCCUUCUGCUUAACGGAAGAACAGCAGCUGAUACUGCAAGGCUAGAGUGCGGAAGGGGAGAGUGGAACUUCUGGUGGAGCGGUGAAAUGCGUAGAUAUCAGAAGGAACACCGGCGGCGAAGGCGACUCUCUGGUCCGUAACUGACGCUGAGUGUGCGAAAGCUAGGGGAGCAAACGGGAUUAGAUACCCCGGUAGUCCUAGCCGUAAACGAU
rnacentral:rRNA from 1 species